rnacentral:rRNA from 1 species
AGCUCCAAUAUCGUUUAUUAGAGUGUUUCAAGCAGGCGCACGCCUUGAAUACAUUAGCAAGGAAUAAUAAGAUAGGACCUUGGUUCUAUUUUGUUGGUUUCUAGAACUGAGGUAAUGAUUAAUAGGGAUAGUUGGGGGCAUUCGUAUUUAACUGUCAGAGGUGAAAUUCUUGGAUUGUCAAAGACGGACUACUGCGAAAGCGCUUACCAAGGAUGUUUUCAUUGAUCAAGAACGAAAGU